rnacentral:rRNA from 1 species
CCUACGUGGGGCAGCAGUGAGGAAUAUUGGUCAAUGGGCGCGAGCCUGAACCAGCCAAGUAGCGUGAAGGAUGACUGCCCUACGGGUUGUAAACUUCUUUUAUAAAGGAAUAAAGUGAGGCACGUGUGCCUUUUUGUAUGUACUUUAUGAAUAAGGAUCGGCUAACUCCGUGCCAGCAGCCGCGGUAAUACGGAGGAUCCGAGCGUUAUCCGGAUUUAUUGGGUUUAAAGGGAGCGUAGAUGGGUUGUUAAGUCAGUUGUGAAAGUUUGCGGCUCAACCGUAAAAUUUCAAUUGAUACUGGCAGUCUUGAGGACAGUUGAGGUAGGCGGAAUUCGUGGUGUAGCGGUGAAAUGCUUAGAUAUCACGAAGAACUCCGAUUGCGAAGGCAGCUUACUAAACUGCCACUGACAUUGAUGCUCGAAAGUGUGGGUAUCAAACAGGAUUAGAUACCCCUGUAGUC